ACAGAGGUGCCGAGCGUUAGGCGGAAUCACUGGGCUUAAAGCGUGUGUAGGCGGGUCGUUAAGUGCCUUGUGAAAUCCCACAGCUCACCUGUGGAACUGCUUGGCAUACUGGCGAUCUUGAGCCACUUAGGGGCAACCGGAACAAACGGUGGAGCGGUGAAAUGCGUAGAUAUCAGGAGGAACACCGGUGGCGAAGGCGCUCAUCUGGCCCAAUACUGACGCUGAGGCGCGAAAGCUAGGGGAGCAAACGGGA
rnacentral:rRNA from 1 species